GUGCGCAUCAAAGUGCGCAUGGCGUUAGUCUACCGGUGAAAAUUGUGACAAGAGGACGGAUCAUCGCAAAUUCGGAUUACGCAGUUUAAUUGGUAGAUAUCAUGAUAGUUCUCAAAAGGCGGGAAAAAUUCCAAUAUGGACGCCAUGUCUUUCUUGAUGACGUAAAUUUUAUAUUUCGUAUGUAUAAAUUUUUGUUUUGUUUUAUUUUUAUUAAAUUAUUAGUAAUUAUUGUUAAGCAAUUCGUAAUAAAAUUACAUUUUAGUUAAAAGAAAGAGAAAAAAUAAAUAAUUUAUGAGAAAUUUUAAUGAUUCAUCAUUGGAAAUUAAGUUUUAAAAUCUGACAACGAACAUUUUAUUAAAUUUCAGAUAUUAAUAAAUAAUUGGUAGUAUUUUUAUACAUAAUUCAUAACCAAUUAAAAUAAAAAGACAGUAUUUUUAGAACAAAUGCUCGAUAAAAAGCAGAAAAAAAAUAUCAAAAAGAUAUUUUUUUUUCUUCUAUCAUUCCCUAUCCCUUUACUAAUUUAAUGUUAAUUUCAGAAAAUAUUUGUGACCGCGCGCAAUGCGGUUAAUAGAAUCAGUGUUUGUUUCGUCAUAGUAUUUUUAAUAUUUUUUAGAGCACAACAGCUCUGAUUAAAUUUAAUUAGAAUAAUCAAACGCGAUAGUAGAGUCAGUGUUUGUUCGCCGAUUAUAAUUUAUUCGGACGUGUUAUUAGUUUUUUAUUUUUUAUUUCUUUUUAUUCUCAAUAUUCGUUUUCGGUACUGAAUAGAAUCAGUGUUUCUCAAGAGAAUAAGACGAUCAUCCACCACGCGAAGAGGUGCUGAUGAUCUUUAUGAAGAUUUGGACUUUAAUCUUAAAAAAUAUUUGUGACCACGCGCAAUGUGGUUAUUAGAAUCAGUGUUUGUUUCGUUAUAGUAUUUUGAAUAUUUUUUAAAGCACAAGAGCUCUAAUUAAAUUUAAUUAGAAUAAUCAAACGCGAAAAUAAAAUCAGUGUUUGUUCGCCGAUUAUAAUUUAUAUACGGACGCGUUAUUAGAUUCUUAUUUUUUAUUUUUUUUUAUUUUAAAUAUUCGUUUUCGGUACAGGGUAGAUUCAGUGCUUCUCUCAAGAAAAUAAGACGAUCAUCCAUCACGCGAAGAGAUUUCUUCCAUCCUUCUACCUGAUGACAACCUUCUUCUCGAUGAUUUCUGGGCUACAAUAAUAGUGAAGGCAUUCGUCGCAUCAAAUGGUGAGUCGCAUGCUUUUUGGUUCCUCUGGUCACUCAAUCAUGUCGUAGGAUGAAAGAUCCGAAUCGACACGAGUGAUUGGUUGUAUACGUAGAAUUUUGCACGAGCACAGUGACCACGGAUAUAUAUAUUUUAUAUACCCGUGAGUAGUAACAUUUAUUUUCUUUGUAUUUAUUUAUUAGUUCAGGCUAGGUCUUCUUGUAUUUCGCGUUUUUAAAUAUUAGUCUAAAGUUAAUAGAAAAUUAAAUUAUAAUUUGUAAGAGUAUAUUUAAUAUGAAUAUUUAUAACAUCUAAUAAUUAAAUGAAUAUUCGUGUAUGAAUUAAAAACGAAUAUUUGAAUGUGAUAUUAAAUCAUUUCAUUUUUAUUUCACGAUAAUGUUUUAAAGGAUUGCUUAAUAUUCAAGAUAGCAUAAAUACGUAAUUUUAUUGUUUUUGUUUGAAAUAUUAUGUACAAGAAGACAUUUCGCGACAGGCAGAUUUUGAAAUCAAAGCUACAACUUUUGAACACUUGUAUUUUCGAAAAUAUGCUUUGAUGAAGAAAUCACCUGAGGAUAUUUUCAUUAAUAUUUAAACUUUGAAUCAAUAUCUUCGUUCAGAAUUGAAU